UCCCCUGUUGUGUCUGUAUUCUUUUGUAGAUAUAGCAUAUAUUGUCCAAAAAGGGAAUUCUCCAUAUAUAUUAAUUAAUUUGGAGGAAAAUUGAACGGCACUUGGAGAUUUCAAUACAGUAGCAAAAUGAUUCUGCUUUGGAGUUGAUACAAUACCCAUAGGGGAUUUUGGACCAAUGGUGGACUCGAUUCAGCUUCAUUGUUUAGUUUCCAGCAUUGGUGUCAUCUGACUAGGGAAUAACAGAUCAUUGAGAACACCUGAGCUGUAAGACCUUCAUUUUGUUUUACUGAAUUCAAAGUAAUCAUUUGAUGCCCUUUCUGGUUCUGGCAAUUCAGUCUUGGUGGAGAAAAUUUGCUAGAGAUCUCAAAGCUUGUGGGCUGGACACAUGGAGGUGGAGGCAACUUUUGACUGUUUUCAUUGUCAAGCUAGAUUCGGAUCGGUGGUGGAUAUCAUUCAGCUUAAUUGUUUAGGUUCCACAAUUGGUGCUCAUGCCAUGGGCAGUAAGUAGAGAUUUAAUCAUAUUGUAUCUCAAUACUAUCUGCAUUUUACUUCAAUGAUUCAUUCACCCAUUGAUUUAUGUUUCAUAUUUCCUCAAAACGCUAGUAAAUAUAUAUAUAUGUUUUCAGUUCAUGGUUUCUGAUUUAUAUUCAUGUUAGCUAAGGUAAACCUACCAACUAUUCCCUAUAUAUAAUCUAUUUGCUAUGUUUUAUUAUUUUUGAAUUUUAUGACUAUGAUCUGUUGAUUCCAUAAAACUUAGAUGAAAGUCAAGCCGGACACAAAUUCAAUACUCUACUGGAAUUGAAGUUGCAGAUUAUGGGUGGUUUUGAUAUCUUCUUUCUCACCAACAAAUGAAGUUCCAACAAAAUUACUGGUGUUAAGGUGAAGGUUGUGAAUCAAUGCAAAAUCCACAUUUAUAGAUGUGCCCUUUUACCUAGAGAUUAAGCUUUUAAUUUUUGAAUUUGGUAAUGUGAAGGGAAUAAAGAUGGCAAUGGUUGAUGAAAGGAAAGAAGAUGAGGGAAUAAAUGACAGAUGUUUGCAACAAAGUUGCCUUGCUCAUCCCAUCCAGCUUUGCGUCAAUGCUUUUUGGAUUUUGGCCAUUGAGAGGAAGCAUAUGAUAUUGGAAUUAGGCAGAGUUGCUCUUAUCUCAAAACAAGUUGAAUGAACACAUGGAACCUGGAUGUUAUUUUCAAUUCCAACCCUAUCACAGUUUUCAUUCUCAAGCUAGAUUGAUGAGCUUUUAUGCUUACCCCAUAGAGGAACCCAACAUAAACACUUGGAAGAAAAAAAUCCAAAUGAUUUUGGUUUAGUUGGAACUUCAAAGUGCAGAGCUGGUUUCGUGGUAAAGCCAUUUGACUUGAUUGUUAUAUCAGUUUGGGCUAAAACUUGAAUCAAUUUUCCCCUUUUGUAAUUAAAAUUCCAGAAUUUUAUUCUGUUUUGGAAUUGAAAGGAUGCAACAUUGGAAUUGGUUUGUACAUCGUUUUUAUGAGAUGGUAUCCAACAAAUUCAAGAUUUGUAGCUUAGUAAUUAAAAUAACUUUCUGUAAUACUAAACUAUGAUUGAUGCGUCGUUGAGAGCACCAAAAA